UACAGAGGUGGCAAGCGUUGUUCGGAAUUACUGGGCGUAAAGGGCGCGUAGGCGGCCCGUCAAGUCCCGUGUGAAAGCCCCCGGCUCAACCGGGGAACGGCGCGGGAAACUAGCAGGCUUGAGUUCGGGAGAGGGAAGCGGAAUUCCGGGUGUAGCGGUGAAAUGCGCAGAUAUCCGGAGGAACACCGGUGGCGAAGGCGGCUCGCUGGACCGGAACUGACGCUGAGGCGCGAAAGCGUGGGGAGCAAACAGG
rnacentral:rRNA from 1 species